GGGCGACAGCACGCGACGGUGGUUUUGUCGCUUCCUCUUCGAAAUUUGGGGAGACGCGUUUUCCUCCAUCCUCCCGUUCCCAUCCCCCACUCCACUCCCCACUGCACCGGCGACGAACGAAACCCCAAAUCCCCCACGAAAUCCCUAGGGCUUCGCGGCGAGCUAGCCGGCGAAGAGUCAAUUGACGGAGAAAGGAGACGCCCAGCGAAGGAUUCCGCCCAGCAUCCGACGGGAGAGCAGCGCGCGCGUGCCGGAGAAGGAGGAGAAGGAAGCAGCGACGGGGAAGGAGAAGAAGGAAGCGACGGAGCUCUGCGCGGGCGACGGACGCCCCGGAGACGCGAGAUCCUGCUGAUUCAACGCCCCGAGGCAAAAACCAAAAGUGAAAAACUAGGGGGAGGGCAUUCUUUUCAGUAUCCCUGGAGUGGCAGUCUUUAUGAUGGAUGACUACCCAGAUCAAAGAACGGCGAGAAGCAACUUGCAAGGCAAUAGACAUGAUGCAUUUUCAGGAGGCAGCAGUUUUCUUUCAUGCAAACAAUAUUUUCAUUUCUGCAGGUGUAGGGGGGAGGCAAGAACAGGGGGACAAGAUUUAUGUCAGGUUCUGCGACAACAAUUCAGUACAGGGGCAAAUUUUGCAAGCAGUAGAUCAGGGGUAGGUAUAUAGAGGGAAACACACUAGUUCUAGAACAACCAAGGAUGUUGGCAGAUUUAAUGGUGUGUUUUGCCUUGAUUACCUUUGCUGUCGUCUGCCCUGGGAGUUUUUGCCCACCUUUGGCAAUUUCUUUGCCCACAUUUUCUCCAAAUUCUUGCCUGAUCAGCAAGUUUUU